CAUAGGUUAAUGAGGCGAACCGGGGGAACUGAAACAUCUAAGUACCCCGAGGAAAAGAAAUCAACCGAGAUUCCCCCAGUAGCGGCGAGCGAACGGGGAGCAGCCCAGAGCCUGAAUCAGUGUGUGUGUUAGUGGAAGCGUCUGGAAAGGCGCGCGAUACAGGGUGACAGCCCCGUACACAAAAAUGCACAUAUUGUGAGCUCGAUGAGUAGGGCGGGACACGUGGUAUCCUGUCUGAAUAUGGGGGGACCAUCCUCCAAGGCUAAAUACUCCUGACUGACCGAUAGUGAACCAGUACCGUGAGGGAAAGGCGAAAAGAACCCCGGCGAGGGGAGUGAAAAAGAACCUGAAACCGUGUACGUACAAGCAGUGGGAGCACGCUUAGGCGUGUGACUGCGUACCUUUUGUAUAAUGGGUCAGCGACUUAUAUUCUGUAGCAAGGUUAACCGAAUAGGGGAGCCGAAGGGAAACCGAGUCUUAACUGGGCGUUAAGUUGCAGGGUAUAGACCCGAAACCCGGUGAUCUAGCCAUGGGCAGGUUGAAGGUUGGGUAACACUAACUGGAGGACCGAACCGACUAAUGUUGAAAAAUUAGCGGAUGACUUGUGGCUGGGGGUGAAAGGCCAAUCAAACCGGGAGAUAGCUGGUUCUCCCCGAAAGCUAUUUAGGUAGCGCCUCGUGAAUUCAUCUCCGGGGGUAGAGCACUGUUUCGGCAAGGGGGUCAUCCCGACUUACCAACCCGAUGCAAACUGCGAAUACCGGAGAAUGUUAUCACGGGAGACACACGGCGGGUGCUAACGUCCGUCGUGAAGAGGGAAACAACCCAGACCGCCAGCUAAGGUCCCAAAGUCAUGGUUAAGUGGGAAACGAUGUGGGAAGGCCCAGACAGCCAGGAUGUUGGCUUAGAAGCAGCCAUCAUUUAAAGAAAGCGUAAUAGCUCACUGGUCGAGUCGGCCUGCGCGGAAGAUGUAACGGGGCUAAACCAUGCACCGAAGCUGCGGCAGCGACGCUUAUGCGUUGUUGGGUAGGGGAGCGUUCUGUAAGCCUGUGAAGGUGUGCUGUGAGGCAUGCUGGAGGUAUCAGAAGUGCGAAUGCUGACAUAAGUAACGAUAAAGCGGGUGAAAAGCCCGCUCGCCGGAAGACCAAGGGUUCCUGUCCAACGUUAAUCGGGGCAGGGUGAGUCGACCCCUAAGGCGAGGCCGAAAGGCGUAGUCGAUGGGAAACAGGUUAAUAUUCCUGUACUUGGUGUUACUGCGAAGGGGGGACGGAGAAGGCUAUGUUGGCCGGGCGACGGUUGUCCCGGUUUAAGCGUGUAGGCUGGUUUUCCAGGCAAAUCCGGAAAAUCAAGGCUGAGGCGUGAUGACGAGGCACUACGGUGCUGAAGCAACAAAUGCCCUGCUUCCAGGAAAAGCCUCUAAGCAUCAGGUAACAUCAAAUCGUACCCCAAACCGACACAGGUGGUCAGGUAGAGAAUACCAAGGCGCUUGAGAGAACUCGGGUGAAGGAACUAGGCAAAAUGGUGCCGUAACUUCGGGAGAAGGCACGCUGAUAUGUAGGUGAAGUCCCUUGCGGAUGGAGCUGAAAUCAGUCGAAGAUACCAGCUGGCUGCAACUGUUUAUUAAAAACACAGCACUGUGCAAACACGAAAGUGGACGUAUACGGUGUGACGCCUGCCCGGUGCCGGAAGGUUAAUUGAUGGGGUCAGCGCAAGCGAAGCUCUUGAUCGAAGCCCCGGUAAACGGCGGCCGUAACUAUAACGGUCCUAAGGUAGCGAAAUUCCUUGUCGGGUAAGUUCCGACCUGCACGAAUGGCGUAAUGAUGGCCAGGCUGUCUCCACCCGAGACUCAGUGAAAUUGAACUCGCUGUGAAGAUGCAGUGUACCCGCGGCAAGACGGAAAGACCCCGUGAACCUUUACUAUAGCUUGACACUGAACAUUGAGCCUUGAUGUGUAGGAUAGGUGGGAGGCUUUGAAGUGUGGACGCCAGUCUGCAUGGAGCCGACCUUGAAAUACCACCCUUUAAUGUUUGAUGUUCUAACGUUGACCCCUAAUC
rnacentral:rRNA from 1 species